GCCAGGAUAGCUCAGCUGGUAGAGCAAGGCUUUCGUAAAGCUUAGGUCGUGGGUUCGAAUCCCACUCCUGGCUCAA
rnacentral:tRNA from 2 species